UGCUCCCUGUCUUACAUCCCUUGCAUGGUGGAGGGUGAGCUUUCUGAAAUCCCCUCCCACAUGCAGGGUUUGCAGGAUGGCGAGCC
rnacentral:pre_miRNA from 1 species